ACUGAGAGUUGGGGUUAAAAGCGUGCAGAUCUUGGCACUUGUAGAAUUCACUGAUACUUGAAUAUUUAAUCUCAGUGAAUCUAUAGUGGCAACCGCGGCACGCUACUCUGAACAUCGUGGGAGCA
rnacentral:pre_miRNA from 10 species